AACGAACGCUGGCGGCAUGCCUAACACAUGCAAGUCGAACGAGACCUUCGGGUCUAGUGGCGCACGGGUGCGGAACGCGUGGGAACCUGCCCUUAGGUUCGGAAUAACUCCCCGAAAGGGGUGCUAAUACCGGAUAAUGUCUUCGGACCAAAGAUUUAUCGCCUUUGGAUGGGCCCGCGUUGGAUUAGCUAGUUGGUAGGGUAAAAGCCUACCAAGGCGACGAUCCAUAGCUGGUCUGAGAGGAUGAUCAGCCACACUGGGACUGAGACACGGCCCAGACUCCUACGGGAGGCAGCAGUGGGGAAUAUUGGACAAUGGGCGAAAGCCUGAUCCAGCAAUGCCGCGUGAGUGAUGAAGGCCUUAGGGUUGUAAAGCUCUUUUACCCGGGAUGAUAAUGACAGUACCGGGAGAAUAAGCUCCGGCUAACUCCGUG
rnacentral:rRNA from 1 species